GUCAAUCAGUAGCUCAGAUGCUAGAGCAUGGCACUGAUAAUGCCAAGGUUGCAGGUUUGAUCCUUGUAAGGGACA